rnacentral:rRNA from 1 species
GAUGAACGCUGGCGGCGUGCCUAAUACAUGCAAGUCGAGCGAACGGACGAGAAGCUUGCUUCUCUGAUGUUAGCGGCGGACGGGUGAGUAACACGUGGAUAACCUACCUAUAAGACUGGGAUAACUUCGGGAAACCGGAGCUAAUACCGGAUAAUAUUUUGAACCGCAUGGUUCAAAAGUGAAAGACGGUCUUGCUGUCACUUAUAGAUGGAUCCGCGCUGCAUUAGCUAGUUGGAAGGUAACGGCUUACCAAGGCAACGGUGCAUAGCCGACCUGAGAGGGUGAUCGGCCACACUGGAACUGAGACACGGUCCAGACUCCUACGGGAGGCAGCAGUAGGGAAUCUUCCGCAAUGGGCGAAAGCCUGACGGAGCAACGCCGCGUGAGUGAUGAAGGUCUUCGGAUCGUAAAACUCUGUUAUUAGGGAAGAACAUAUGUGUAAGUAACUGUGCACAUCUUGACGGUACCUAAUCAGAAAGCCACGGCUAACUACGUG